CAGCCAGAAGAGCAGAUCUGAUUUGAGGGCAGCUGGGAAGCCGUCCAAUCUGGAGAGCCUCUACAAUUAGCAAAACAAGGUCUGGAAUUCCUGGACUUCACUCCUUGUUAGCGAGAAAGCGAAACACGUGAUGUUCUGCUUUGCUCUCAGUGUCAAAACCUUGUGCUCAUGGGCCCUGGCGGCUACACAGAAAGCCCUGAGGACUGAAACCCUGCAUGGGUACAUUUUGAUGGGGCAGGAAGAAAAGUUCUGGAGUGUGGAGAGCAGAGGUCCAGAGCAUUCACUGAUUUAGCCACAGAAGAAACAGAUGCGGAAACCGGGGCACAGCAGGCGAAGUGAAACUUCCCAUGUUCCAGCAAAGCCCAGUCCAUAACGUGAGGCUUUGUGAGGUUUGUGUGUGCGACCUUCACCCCUUCACCUGGACCCUCUCUUUGUCCUCCUUUCGCACCCAGUGAUGUGUGGCCUGGAUCACUUCCCUGCCCUCAAGUCUUGCCCUGGCCUGACGUUCAGCGGACCCUCCGUGCAUUAAGGAUGGAGGAUGGUUCCUUGUGCUUCCUCUACCAGGUGCACUUGUAUCUGCUCGGAAUUCUGGAAGAGCAAAGACCCACUGGCCCCACUAAUCCAUCUAUUGAUCCUGCCCCGGUCAGCAGGCUGGGUCUAGCCUCCACACUGCCGCUGCUCAGGGUCUGUGGAGGAAGUCGCUGCAGCCAUUCAGCCAGAUGAAUCGCAAUUAAUAAAUGUGGAACGAAUGAGAGACGAAGACGAUGAGCACCAGAGGACUGCAGGGAGCACGGCUGAGGCAACAUCACCAGAGGAUAGUAAAAUUAGCAGACAGAGAUCUAAGCACAAACAGUGUCUCUGUGUAGCCUUAAAGCAUCUCUUUGAAUAUUUAAUGGUUACAAAGGAAAAACAGUGAGUUGAUGGGGGAGAACCCUGGCAGGCACCACCCUAACCAAGAGAUCAAAGUUGGCAUGACCAGGCACAAGGCACACUAACAGCCCACACCCACUGAUCUGGCCCACCGAAAAUGCACAUCACUUCUGUGGCAUUGCCACGGAAUUUCCAAAAAGGCAUUACCUCAGUCCAAUGCAGAGAAGGCGUCAGGCAGACCUAGGCGGAGAGACUGUCCAAGAGCGACAGACCCAUCCUCUUAAAAAGCCGGCCCUGACACAGAAAGGAGACAGAGAAAGGUGACAGCCAAAUGCACGUGGGAGCUGGGAACAGAGGAGGGCACUGGGAGGGGCCUGCCUGCCGUCCAGCUCUCGAGACCACGGCGAGAUUCAGAAGGGAAUUGGGCCAUUCCUUCUCCAAAGCAGAACGUACUGCAGCUGUGAGAGUUCUAGGAGAAAAUUCAGAUGAACUUUCAAAUCAGCUUCUCAAGUGUCAACAUCCUGUUGCGAUUUUCAUUGAUAUUGAACUGAAUUUAUAGAUUUUGUAAGCAGAAAAAAAUUAUUUUAAUUUUUUGAGAAAAAAAGUUUUAAAUGGUUUGUUUUCAGACUGUGUCAAGAUAUCCCUACCUCCGAAGUUGUCAGGUUUGCGGACCUUGGGGUGAAGCGUGGGGCUGCUGGAGGCGUCCAGCCCUGACUGUGUGUCCAGGACAAUGAGCCCCGAAGUGAGCGGGCCGCGUCCUGUUGGCGCAGCCAACUUCACGCCCUCUGUCCAGGGAGGACUAAGGGACAAGCUGCAGCAGGCGCAGAGGACGCUGUUGGUGUCCGGGAGGCCGCUGGUACAGGGCGUUGGGCGUGGCUCCUUUCCAAGUGCCUUGCACUUUCCAGGCUGGGCUGCAGAAGCAGGCUCGGGGGCGACUCGCGUGGGGACUGAAGCAGCCAGCCUUGGCACCUGCCCACAGCAAAUAACUGCCUUGACUUGAUCUGGUUUUUUUGAAGAAAGGUUUAUUCAUACCCAUUAUGUGCGCAUGUGUAAAUUCAAACCCACGGCUUGCCGGAGCCUGGGCUUUCUCGAACAUCAGUUGCUCCCAUGCUACCAUUUUGCAGUUUGCCCGUCUCCAGUAGAUGAUUUCUGAAUAUUUUAAUCAACUCAUUAUUAACCAUUCACACGUCUACCUUAGCCUCAUUUUAAGCAAUUGCACCUGUGGGUUUCACAGGCCUGCUGUAUUUUUAGUACAUAUUAAAUAAAGCAUGUCUGUUGGGGCGUGCUGUGCUUGCCCACCUG
rnacentral:lncRNA from 1 species